AUACUUGCCUGUCAGGGAAGUUUUAGCCAUGAUCACCAAGGUGGCUCUCCCAGGGCGAGGCUGGUUCAUUGCACUCUGAGCCUGCUGUCCUCUGCGAUUUCCACACAUGUAGGAAACUCGACUGCACAAUUAUGGUAGUGGGGUACUGCGUGCACGCUUUCCCCAG